GACGAACCGUGCAAACGUUGUUCGGAAUCACUGGGCUUAAAGGGCGCGUAGGCGGGCAAGCAAGUCGAAGGUGAAAUCCCACGGCUCAACCGUGGAAGUGCCCCCGAUACUGCUUAUCUUGAGGGAGAUAGGGGCGUGCGGAACUUCCGGUGGAGCGGUGAAAUGCGUAGAUAUCGGAAGGAACACCGGUGGCGAAAGCGGCGCGCUGGAUCUCUUCUGACGCUGAGGCGCGAAAGCCAGGGGAGCAAACGGG
rnacentral:rRNA from 1 species